UCGCGACCCCAGGUCAGGYGGGAUUACCCGCUGAGUUUA
rnacentral:rRNA from 1 species